rnacentral:rRNA from 1 species
CAGCCGCCGCGGGAACACAUAAGAUGCAAGCGUUAUCCGGAAUGAUUGGGCGUAAAGCAUCUGUAGGUUGCUUUUCAAGUCUGCAGUCAAAUCCCAGGGCUCAACCCUGGACAGGUGGUGGAAACUACCAAGCUGGAGUACGGUAGGGGUAGAGGGAAUUUCUGGUGGAGUGGUGAAAUGCGUAGAGAUGUGGAGGAACACCAGUGGCGAAGGCGACUCUCUGGUCUGUAACUGGCGCUGAGGAGCGAAAGCGUGGGGAGCGAACAGGAUUAGAUACCCCCGUAGUCCCUGUCUCUUAUAC